GGCCUGAUGGUCUAGUGGUAUGAUUCCUUGUUAGGGCUUCCAACGUUGCUCGAGGAGGUCCUGGGUUCAAUUCCCAGCCCUUUUU